rnacentral:rRNA from 1 species
AUUGAACGCUGGCGGCAUGCCUUACACAUGCAAGUCGAACGGUAACGCGGGGCAACCUGGCGACGAGUGGCGAACGGGUGAGUAAUACAUCGGAACGUGCCCAGUAGUGGGGGAUAGCCCGGCGAAAGCCGGAUUAAUACCGCAUACGACCUACGGGUGAAAGCGGGGGACCGGCAAGGCCUCGCGCUAUUGGAGCGGCCGAUGUCAGAUUAGGUAGUUGGUGGGGUAAAGGCCUACCAAGCCUACGAUCUGUAGCUGGUCUGAGAGGACGACCAGCCACACUGGGACUGAGACACGGCCCAGACUCCUACGGGAGGCAGCAGUGGGGAAUUUUGGACAAUGGGCGAAAGCCUGAUCCAGCCAUGCCGCGUGCGGGAAGAAGGCCUCGG